rnacentral:rRNA from 1 species
GACGAACCGAGCGAACGUUGUUCGGAAUCACUGGGCUUAAAGGGCGCGUAGGCGGGCUGCCAAGUCCGUGGUGAAAUCCCCCGGCUCAACCGGGGAAGGGCCUCGGAUACUGGCGGCCUCGAGGGGGGGGGUAGGGGCGUGCGGAACUGUGGGUGGAGCGGUGAAAUGCGUUGAUAUCCACAGGAACGUCCGGUGGCGAAGGCGGCACGCUGGACCCCAUCUGACGCUGAGGCGCGAAAGCCAGGGGAGCAAAGCGGG